GCAGCAGCCGCGGGAAUACGAAGGGUGCAAGCGUUACUCGGAAUUACUGGGCGUAAAGCGUGCGUAGGUGGUGGUUUAAGUCCGUUGUGAAAGCCCUGGGCUCAACCUGGGAAUUGCAGUGGAUACUGGGUCACUAGAGUGUGGUAGAGGAUAGUGGAAUUUCCGGUGUAGCAGUGAAAUGCGUAGAGAUCGGAAGGAACAUCUGUGGCGAAGGCGACUAUCUGGGCCAACACUGACACUGAGGCACGAAAGCGUGGGGAGCAAACAGGAUUAGAUACCCCCGUAGUCCCUGUCUCUAUACC
rnacentral:rRNA from 1 species